GGCUAGGUGGUGAAAUGGUAGACACGAGGGACUUAAAAUCCCUUGGUCAGAAAUGACCGUGCGAGUUCGAGUCUCGCCCUGGCUA
rnacentral:tRNA from 1 species